GCGCCGGUGGUGUGAAGGCGUAGAGCAUUCCCGCCCGGUCAGAGGGAGGUGCGGGUUCGAGUCCCGCCUGGCGCU
rnacentral:tRNA from 1 species